AUGUCAGUCCCGUCGUAUUUUUGGACAGAGGCAGUAAGAACAGCCGUGUAUCUACUGAACAGAGCGCCAACACGCAGCCUAGACGGUGUCACUCCGUAUGAGGCUUGGCAUGGCCGUAAGCCAAGUGUGCAACAUCUGCGGACAUUCGGCUGUGUGGCGCACGUGAAAAAGCUAGGCCCAGGCAUCACAAAGCUCUCUGACCGAUCAAGUGCAAUGAUAUUUGUUGGAUAUGAGGAAGGCUCAAAGUGCUAUCGAGUGUAUGAUCCAGCUACAAAAAAGGUACAUGUGACCCGUGAUGUGCUGUUUGAGGAAAACAAGCCGUGGAGUUGGGACAGCCAGGGCGUGGUCACCGCGCCCACGCCGACAACAUUCUCUCACUACUAG
rnacentral:rRNA from 1 species